rnacentral:rRNA from 1 species
GACGAACGCUGGCGGCGUGCUUAAUACAUGCAAGUCGAACGGAAAGGCCCUGCUCUUGUGGGGCGCUCGAGUGGCGAACGGGUGAGUAACACGUGAGUAACCUGCCCUUGACUUUGGGAUAACUUCAGGAAACUGGGGCUAAUAUCGGAUAGGAGCUCCUGCUGCAUGGUGGGGGUUGGAAAGAUUCGGCGGUUGGGGCUGGACUCGCGGCUUAUGAGCUUGUUGGUGGGGUAGUGGCUUACCAAGGCUUUGACGGAUAGGCGGCCUGAGAGGGUGGCCGGCCACAAUGGGACUGCGAUACGGCCCAGUAGCCUACGGGACGCAGCAGUGGGGAGUAUUGCGCAGUGGGCGGAAGCCUGAUACGGCAGCGCCGCGUGCGUGAUGACGGCCUUCGGGUUGUAAACAGCUUUCGCAGGAGACAAAGCGUGAGUGACGGUAAUGGGUAAAAAAGCACCGGCUAACUACGUG